AUGUUUGUUGUGCAGAUAAGAAGUGUGUCAAUGAUCCACAGACAUGAGAGUUGGAUGUCAAAGGUUGUUCUCAUGCGGCAGCAGGACGUCGCUAAGUUCCUCAGCUUUUUAUGGAAGUGAAGCCAAAUUCAUUUUUAAAACGAACUUAUCUGAGAGCAGGUGUGUUUGGUUCAGCACCAGCAGGUGGUCGUGGGUUCUGUAAACCUGUAGAAACAGGAGGAGGCGCUGUGAGGCUUUGGCUGAGGUUCUUCUGUUGGUUUUAUUUUGCUGCCUAAGCCUUGUUGCUGAACUCUUACUCACCUUUCACUCAGAAUAUUCCCUGAUGGAUUCGUCUUUUUAUCACGAUAUUGUUGCUCGUCUCAAAGCUCCAGUGGUUAAGGAGAAGUGUGAGGAGUGAUUCCAUACUCAGGAAUAAAAAGCCUUAAAGCACCAGACUGGGCUCAAUUAGCCAAAGAAGAUGAAAUACAGAAGCCCUGCGAUAGCCCUGUUACUUAGACAUGUAGCCCCCACCAGGACCGGACCAGGACCGGACCAGACAAGGACCGGACCAGGACCAGGACCUGGACCAGGACCUGGACCAGACCAGGACCGGACCAGGACUAGACCAGGACCGGACCAGGACUAGACCAGGACCGGGACCGGGACCGGGACCGGGACCGUAACGGACCAGGACCAGGACCAGGACCGGACCAGGACUAGACCAGGACCAGACCAGGACCAGAUGGCAGCAGCAUCCCCAGACAUGAUCAGACAUGAUCAGGCAUCAUAAAGGUCCUGACUGGACGACUCCUGUUCAACUCUAUUUAUAUAGCACUUAAAAAAACAGCUCCAGCUGGAACAAAGUGGUUUAUCUGAGUAAAAUAAGAACACGAGACGUAAAACAAACAAUUAAAAUAAAACACAGUAAAAGCAUCAGACAAGGAAUAAAAAUGGGUUUUAAGGUUCCUAGAUAAAUCCUGUUAUUUCUGUGCUUUUAUUAUAAACCGUAUAAACUCAACCUGCACUAAGCUGCACUUUAUGAGCAUUGUUACAUUUUCUCUUUACAUAUGUUUUUACUUUUUCCAUUUUUAAGUGUCAUUUAAAUGUAUUUAUGCCUUGAAGUUGGCCUGUGAUGUUCUCACAAUGAGAAUAAAGACUAAUUCUCGUGACUGAUAGAAAUGUCCAGGUAUCGUUGGACUUUUUAUAUUUGAAUUGUUUGAAUAAAGUCCAAAAACAUGAAA